ensembl:lncRNA
CUGACAGGUAUUUUGAAAUAAAUAACCAAAAAUAAUUAAAAACAGUUGUGAUUAUAUUGUGUUAUUUUGACAAAUAAAAUAUGCAGAAUUUUAAGAUAUUGUGCACAGCAUUUUUAAUUUUUUGGCGCAGAAUUCUACCAGGAGUAGUGUGUAGACACAGUUGUCUCUGCAUCCAUUGGGUUCAUUGGAAUUGUCAGAGAGUGGCCGAGCUAGCCUUGUGAAGUCGGGGAUUCUGCCUCCCACUGAGUUCCAAAACUGUAGCAAAGGCAACAUACAGUCCGCUUCUUUCACAAUAUUUUUGUAAGCAGGGAUCUCCAGCCUACAAUUCUCGUCAAAGCCAGGAAUUGCAUUGAGGUUAAAUCCACCAUCAACAAGUGCAUUUGUGCAGGGUCAAAAAUAUGCACAGCUUUUAGGAACCCUGCUGCAAGUUGUUGAACUUUUGAGUGUUUUUUUCUGAAUCGCUUCACUUUACCCCAUAACAGUAAUAUUGUCUGAGCUUUUUUGCCAUGCAAAAAAACACCUGCUGAGCACUGGCAUUUAACUCAGUGUUGUCAGAGUGAUUUUUGUUUGACUGCACUUCAGUCCAGAACAGUACAUCCAUUACUCUGUUAUAAACUUUGUGGAUUGUGACAUCUCGAGAUUCCAACAAAGUGAUUAAGUCCAUCGGUCCUGUGUCAUUCUUGGCAACAGACUGAACUUCCUCGUUUAGCUGAGAAUCAUUUUGAAGGGUUGAAAGGUCUGUUAAAACUUGCGUUUUCAGUGUCAGUGUGAGCUCUUCUGAGACAAACUGAGUAGUACUUCGGAUGAGCUGCAUAGUAUUGUGCAACCUGAAACCAUGAAUUCCAAUGAGUAACUACUGGCUCUGGGGGAAGUGCAAUUUUUUGUUCCCGGAUUUCAGUCAUUUCAGUUGCAUUUGCAAUGUUCUGCCUGUGUCGAGGUUUGCAACUAGGGCAGCGUUUAAAAAAUCAUUUUAUGUGGCUGAUCAGUUUAUCAACUUUACCAAACUUGCAUCUGCACAGCUUACUGACAAGAGAAAUUACAUGUGCAUUACAUGUAAUAUGGACAACAUUUCACACUCGACAUUGGAGAACAGAUUUGAAGGAUUUCAUCAUUUUCAUUAUACAGUGAGCUUUGGCUGAGGACCUCCACAACUGCCCUAGGAGCCACAAGCAUUCAGUGAUUAGUCAGACAUACUGUGACUUGGUAAGUAAAUUCCUCCUGUCAUCAGUCUGGUGACAGGAAGGAUGAAGAUAGUGACAGUUGGCAAGGGAGACAAAGAGACUAAGUUGCAAGUGGCAGGCAGUUUAAUUUCACAUACCUAUACUGUAUGAUAAAAAUGUCAUUAAUAAUUCUAUUCAUAUCAUUAUUUGCACAUUUUAAAAUUCAUAGGAUUUAUUUCUUUAAAUUACACUUUAUCAUGAACAUCAGAACAAAAGUGGAGCUGAACUUGCAUGUUAUUAACCUAUCAGAUAGAACAAUGAUUAUUUAUUGAGGUAUGCAUAGGUGGUAAGAAUAGAAAAAAUAGAAUCUCAGAGUGCUUGUUGAGCCAAAUUCAGAACCAGCAGAAAGGGGUGCGACUCCAUAGAAGUCAAUGAAGCUGUACCCCUAACACCAACUUUGUCCCUUUAUCUAUAAAGCAUCCUGUACCUGUAGCAGAAAAUCUUGUUCAUUUGGAAAGAAGAAAAAGUCACCCAGUAAUCAUCAUAACACAGGGCAGUGUUUGUCUGCCUUUCAAGUUGGUAAAUCUUUAUAUGUCAUUAGUUCCUUACAUUUACUGUAAAAUUAAAAGGUGUAUUAAAGAUAAAAGUGCUAAGCAGUAAAAUUCGUGUGUGUGUUUCUAGAGGUUGAUAGACAAUAGUUGUCCUUGAAUGGUAAGUUUGUGCAGGGAAUGGGAGAAUAGGAUCUCCUUUGCUUUAGUUUGUAAUACAUUUUUCAAUGCCUCACAACCCCUUAGAGUAGAAUGCCUUCCAUAAACCAUGUGGGAGGUCAUAUCCCACUGGUUGAAAACAGGGCACAAGAUGUGUUGUACAAGAAUAUUCUGGAUGCAUGAGAGGUAAGGAAGUAUUCCUUCCUUCAACAAGGCACUUAAGUCCAUGCUUAACUUAAACUUAAAUUGUCUGACACAAACUCUUAUUAAGAAUAUUGCCUAAUAUUAAAUAGGAAAAUAAUAGCACACAAGAUAUAUGAUAUCCAGUAUCAUAUAAAAAGAAUUAGGAAUAACCAUGGAUAGAUUUGGAAAAAAAGAACCUUAAGUCAUACGGAUAUAAUAAAUUGUGUUAGAUUUAAUUUCA